UUGAACGCUGGCGGCAGGCCUAACACAUGCAAGUCGAACGGUAACAGGAAGAAGCUUGCUUCUUUGCUGACGAGUGGCGGACGGGUGAGUAAUGUCUGGGAAACUGCCUGAUGGAGGGGGAUAACUACUGGAAACGGUAGCUAAUACCGCAUAACGUCGCAAGACCAAAAAGGGGGACCUUCGGGCCUCUUGCCAUCGGAUGUGCCCAGAUGGGAUUAGCUAGUAGGUGGGGUAACGGCUCACCUAGGCGACGAUCCCUAGCUGGUCUGAGAGGAUGACCAGCCACACUGGAACUGAGACACGGUCCAGACUCCUACGGGAGGCAGCAGUGGGGAAUAUUGCACAAUGGGCGCAAGCCUGAUGCAGCCAUGCCGCGUGUAUGAAGAAGGCCUUCGGGUUGUAAAGUACUUUCAGCGGGGAGGAAGGGAGUAAAGUUAAUACCUUGGCUCAUUGACGUUACCCGCAGAAGAAGCACCGGCUAACUCCGUG
rnacentral:rRNA from 1 species